UGCACAUGCGCACAGGUCACCUCGCAGUCCCCGCCCCCGACCCCAGCGUUUCCUCUUUUAGUAUCCAGGACUUUUUUUUUUUUCUUCCCAUGGCCUUUAUCUGGAUUUUAGGGUGAGGAGUAGGGGAAUUCAGAUGGGAGUGUUACCAAGCCACCCUCAAAUUCAUCAAGAGAAGGGUCAGGAGUUCAAGGUCAUCCUCAGUAGCAAGUUUGAGCACAGCCUAAGAUUCAUGGGACCCCGUCUCAACACAAAACUAACAAAAUUCACCUCAAGCUACCUCCUUUGUCUUACAGAGGGGUACAUACCUUCCAAGGAUCACACUGGUAUCAGAGGAUGGCCUUCGUGAAGAUCAUCGAUGCAAAAACUGAAUUUAAAACGAUUUUUUAGAACAUCAUGGUAACAUACACCUGUAAUCUCAGCACUUGGGAUAUGGACACAAAGGAUCAGGAGUCCACGGUCAUCAUCAUCUUCUGCACGAUGUCACAAGUCAUGCCAUGCAUGCUGGCUCACAGCACUCAAGAGGCUGAGGCAGGAGGAUUGCUGAGAGUCUAAGGCUGGCCUUGAACUCCCUAUGAAGCCAAGGAUGACCUUCAACUUCCGAUCCUUCUGCCUCCGCUUUUGAAGUGCUGAGAUAACAGUCAUGUGUUACCACAUGCCCAGAUGGCUAGAAUUACAGGAAUAUGCCAUCGUACCUGACUCCAGAAUUUCAUCUAAAGAAAUAAAGGGGGUUUCAGCAUCUAUGUCGCUCCUGCCCUGGGACACUAGGUUGACUUCCUCUGUGUGUCCGUGGGAUACAGUGCAAGUGGCAGUGAAGGGCACCCAGCUGCGCAGUCUGCUGUGGCAUUUGUCAAGGUCAUUUUGUGUCAUGAGGUGAUGCUGGUAGUGGUUUCCAGGAUGGAUGGAGCUGCUUGAGCCUUGUGUACAUGCUCUGCAGUGGACUAGAGGGUCUCUGCAGCAACCACCCCUUCGUCCCAUGCCAGCAGGAACCCUGAGCUGACAGCUGGAGCAGCCAGCAGUGGCCACUUUGAUGGCCUCCCAUAGACCCAUUAAGGGAAUCCUCAAGAACAAGGUGUCUUCCCUGGUGAUCACCAGGGGAAGAGAUGAGUAAAAAGUCCCAGACGUAGGAUGAAAUGAAUAUCCUGGCAGUGUAUCUCCAGCUGACAAAGACGAUGGUUUGAUGGAAGCAGAUGAACCAAACACUGCUUAUCGCAACAUGAUAGAUGAUGAUGAAGAUAUCUAUAGUGAUUCAGAAGCCAAUGAUGUCAUGACUCCACAUAUCUUAGUUAAGAAAUAGGCUGCUGCUGAAAGCUAAGAGCCCAAGAGUCAGAUUUGAGAAUAGCAACACAGUGGAGAGGAAGAGCAAAAAGAAAAAAAGAAAACCAAAAAGCAACAACAACAACAACAAAACGAAGUAACAGGAACCCUCAUCUGGGUGUUGGUGGCGCAGGCCUUUAAUCCCAGCACUCGAGAGGCAGA